rnacentral:rRNA from 1 species
UACGAAGGGGGCUAGCGUUGCUCGGAAUCACUGGGCGUAAAGGGUGCGUAGGCGGGUCUUUAAGUCAGGGGUGAAAUCCUGGAGCUCAACUCCAGAACUGCCUUUGAUACUGAGGAUCUUGAGUUCGGGAGAGGUGAGUGGAACUGCGAGUGUAGAGGUGAAAUUCGUAGAUAUUCGCAAGAACACCAGUGGCGAAGGCAGCUCACUGGCCCGAUACUGACGCUGAGGCACGAAAGCGUGGGGAGCAAACAGG